rnacentral:misc_RNA from 1 species
CGCAUCCUUCAGCCGAUCCGAAGACACCAUGCCUCCAGGGAGGAAGGGAAUACGAAGCACAAGGGAACCCCCACCAGAAAUCACUUCUACUGAGUAUGAGAAACAAAGGGCAGCAAAUGUGAUGAGGAACAAUCAGAUGUUCCAACGGCUUGGGAUUAAUCAGUUACGCACAAUGAUGACUGCUACAAGAGUAAAGAGCAAAUAUGAUGGUCCAGAGGAAUCAGGGUCUUUGUUUGACGGCGAGGAUAGUGAAGGCUCUGAGCCAGAGGAGGAUUCCCAUGUUGCACAAGGUGUACGUAGCCACAACCCAACUCAUGUUGCUGACAAACCUACACAACAAACACGAGGUUCUAAAAGGGUUGUGGCCCCUGAUGUUCAUGGACAACAGAUUAGAUUCACUAGGCAAAGGAGUGCUGCCAUAAAUCAACAAUCCUCCCUAAGCCUAACUACUACUACACAAGCUGGUUCAAGAGCCACCACAAACCAAGAAUCCACCCAAAACUUGGCUGCUGCAACACAAUUUACUUCAAGUGUUGCCACUGAGCAAGAUCACACUGUAGGCCUGACUACUGCUGCACAACCUAGUUCUCCCACACAAGCUGAGGUCAAUGACCACAAUAGAGAUGAAGAAUUGGUACUAAGGCAAAGAAGUAGGGGCAAACAACUUGAAUCCUUGAGCAGAGGGUUAGGCACUAAGAUUCCAAUCCAAAUCUCUAAUGGGAAGCGAAG